rnacentral:rRNA from 1 species
UACAGGGGGGGCAAGCGUUGUUCGGAAUUACUGGGCGUAAAGGGCUUGUAGGUGGCCAACUAAGUCACACGUGAAAUCCCCAGGCUUAACCUGGGAACUGCGUGUGAUACUGGAUGGCUUGAAUCCGGGAGAGGGAUGCGGAAUUCCAGGUGUAGCGGUGAAAUGCGUAGAUAUCUGGAGGAACACCGGUGGCGAAGGCGGCAUCCUGGACCAAUAUUGACGCUGAGGAGCGAAAGCCAGGGGAGCAAACGGG